UGCACCUGCAUCACCUGCAUUGUGCAAGGAAAAAGAGUUUAGGGUCAAAUCAGUCACUCAGUGCUGUGAAGAUUUUGAAGGACUGGAAGAACAACCAGUUGGGUUGUAAUCAUGAGCCUCUUCUAAUCCUAAACUCAAAAAAGAUCUAUCCAAUAAAGGAGAGAAAGGACCGCAUACGCCUGGUUCUCAUCAUAUGCAAUAAAGAGUUUGACCAUCUGCCUCCAAGAAAUGGGGCUGACUUUGCCAUCAUGGAGAUGAAGAAGCUGCUUGAGGAUCUGGGUUACAGUGUGGAUGUAGAAGAGAAUCUGACAGCCAGGAUAACGUGUCCAGGAGAGACAGCACAAGGGGCUCCAUCUUCAUCACACAACUCAUCGCAUGCUUCCAGAGAUAUUCCUGGCGCUGCCACCUAGAGGAAGUAUUUUGGAAGGUUCAGCAAGCAUUUGAAAGUCCGGAGGCAACAGUCCAAAUGCCCACCAUAGAACGAGUGUCCAUGACAAGAUAUUUCUACCUCUUUCCUGGCAAUUGAAAAUGGUUAAGCAUUGAGAGUUGUUGGUGGUGUAUGAAAUAAAUGAAAGUGUGAUAUUGGAG
rnacentral:lncRNA from 1 species